rnacentral:lncRNA from 1 species
AUGCUGCAGACUGGUGAAUAACUACUGUGGUGGUGAGAUCAUACACUCUGACUGGAACAACUGAUCUAGGAUAAGUGAGCCCGGUGCAGACUGAUGUCUGCUCCAGCACUGUGAAAAGGACAACUGAACCUUUUCAGUCAGGAUCUACGCUCUCUACUCACAUCAUCACAUAGGUAAAGGAAUGGAAUGGACAGCAGACGGCAGAGAGUCCCUUGAGCUGAUGAGAGUGACACCAGCGCUUCCCCAGGGCUCCAGGGAUGCUGUCCCAGCACAUAGUAAAGAUGCCACAUUCCACACAGGAGAAUCAAUCUGAAGGUGGAAACUAAGGAGUUAGGCUGGCUGAAGUAAUGUAAUGCAUCCCAUAUGUAGGCAUUCCUGCACUGCCUGUAGUGUCUGUCAGCGUCUCAUAUUCUGGACCUUGAAGUUGAUUCCUCGGCAGCCAGUUGCAUCCUGGGAAGGCUGUUCCAUGGGUCCAGGCUGGGAGUGAAUCUCAAAUGUAUUUUCUUGAUUCCUUGUGUCCUUUCUCCUUGAUUCCUUCUCCAAGUUCAUUGGGGAACAAGGUCUAAGGGGAGGAAAAUUUGACCAUUUCUUCCAAUGUGUUUUGAGAAGGAGCGAGGAGAGAGGACAGGGGCAAUCAAGGAAAUACAAUUGAGAUUCACCCAGGGGCUCUCCUCCUGUCCUGCGUCGCCCUGCUCUCAUUGGCAGACCGAUCGUCAGCUCCAGCAGCUGCGUCUCUGUCUAUCUGUCGGCCUCACCCUCGGCCCCUCGGGACAUUUAGCAGGGAAAAACGUUUGGAUAUCAGAGCGCCGGUAACUCACCAGCAUUACGACCAGGAAUACGACUUUCCCGCAUCAGAUCCUUUGUUCGUACCCCCCAGGGCAAUUGAACUGAUUCCAGAGGCUGACCCAAAACACCUCCGGCGGAGGAGAGGUACUCGGAGGGGACUUCUAGUCCAACUCAGGAGGCGCGCACACCACCCACCGCUUCUGAGUAUAUUACUCACUAAUGUUCAGUCUCUGGAUAAUAAAGAUGACGAUCUCAGGGGACGAGGAUUUCCUUCCAGAGAGACGUCAGGGAUUGUAACAUACUCUGUUUCACGGAAGCAUGGCUGUUACGGAUACAGGUAUCCUGUGUGUGUGUUUCUUUUCUCUCCUUCUCACCUCACAGGUGACAAUCAUCAUUCCCCAAUCAGUCAUCAAUCAGUCACCAACCAAGACACCUGCUCCUUUCCCCUCAAUAAAUCACAUCCCUUUCCCUUGGUUUAAAAACCCAGCCAGUUGUUUUCUCUUUAGUUCAAUCUCUCUCUGUAAGAUCAAUCUCUUAGUGCUCAAUCUCUCUCUCCGUAUCGCUCUCAAUACAGAUCUCUCUUUUGUUUUGCAACUACAUGUCACUUUGUCCGUCAGCCUGUGAGUAUUGUUGUUUCUUUCCUUGGGUCCAGCUCAGCCCCUUUUCUCACACCCCUUUACCGUGUGUUUAAAAAUAAACCUUUAGUGUUUGACGGUAAAUUUCAGUUGUCUGUGGUUUUUGUUCUCACUGUUACUUUUUCACUAUUAUAAUUUGCAUGAUUUAUGUUACGGGUCUCGUUGCCAUCCCCCCUAGACUGCAGGGCCAAAGAGUAUUCGUAACAUAAGUGGGCCGGGAUCUGUCUUUACUGACACCCAUACCGC